CGUAGGGUGCGAGCGUUAAUCGGAAUUACUGGGCGUAAAGCGUGCGCAGGCGGUUUUGUAAGCCAGAUGUGAAAUCCCCGGGCUUAACCUGGGAAUGGCAUUUGGGACUGCAAGGCUGGAGUAUGGCAGAGGGGACUAGAAUUCCUGGUGUAGCAGUGAAAUGCGUAGAUAUCAGGAGGAAUACCGAUGGCGAAGGCAGGUCCCUGGGCCAAUACUGACGCUCAUGCACGAAAGCGUGGGGAGCAAACAGGAUUAGAUACCCUGGUAGUCCACGCCCUAAACGAUGUCAACUGGUUGUUGGGGGAUUUAUUCUCUUAGUAACGAAGCUAACGCGUGAAGUUGACCGCCUGGGGAGUACGGUCGCAAGAUUA
rnacentral:rRNA from 1 species